UACGGAGGAUCCAAGCGUUAUCCGGAAUCAUUUGGUUUAAAGGGUCCGUAGGCGGUCUAGUAAGUCAGUGGUGAAAGCCCAUCGCUCAACGGUGGAACGGCCAUUGAUACUGCUGGACUUGAAUUAUUGGGAAGCAACUAGAAUAUGUAGUGUAGCGGUGAAAUGCUUAGAGAUUACAUGGAAUACCAAUUGCGAAGGCAGGUUGCUACCAAUUGAUUGACGCUGAUGGACGAAAGCGUGGGUAGCGAACAGG
rnacentral:rRNA from 1 species